AUGGCAGCUGGAGCGCUUCCUCUGGGUGUGCUCGUCGUGCUGCUCUGCGUGGGCGUCGUGCGCGCGGCGGACGCGGACAUCGUGGCCGCGGGCCGUCCGCUCUCCGGCGACCAGAAGCUGGUCUCUCCCGGCGGCAAGUUCGCCUUGGGACUCUUCCACCCAGACGGAGCAGCCGACGGCAGCUGGUACGCCGGCAUCUGGUACCACAAGAUAUCGGUGCACACGCCGGUCUGGGUGGCCAACCGCGAGACGCCGGUCUCCAACACGUCGCGGCUCGCCAUCGCGCCCGACGGCAACCUCGCACUGUUCGACGGCGCCGGCUCGAUUGUCUGGUCAACGAACGCCAGCACCAGCGGCGUCGCCAAUGCCAGUGACACGGUCGCCGUUCUCCACGACUCCGGGAACCUCGUGCUCACGCCCGCGUCCAACGCCUCCGCAGUGCUGUGGCAGAGCUUCGACCACAUCACGGACACGUGGCUUCCAGGCGGGAAGCUCAGGCGCGACAAGCGCACCGGCGUCAUCCAGGCCAUGGCCUCGUGGAGGGCGCGCGGCGACCCCGCGCCGGGGAUGUACGCCCUCCAGCUCGACCCGUCCGGGGCGAAGCAGUACUUGCUGCUGUCGAAUGGCACCCAUGUGUACUGGGCCACCGGCAACUGGACAGGCAAGUACUUUACCGGGGCGCCGGAGGUCGCCGCGUCGAGCGGCGGCUCCGGGUAUAGCUUCAACUUUGUGGACAACGACGACGAGAGCUACUUCACGUAUAACUUCGCCGUGAACACGACGGUGUAUCGGUUCGUCAUGGACGUGUCGGGGCAGGUCAAGGGGUGGUUCUGGGUGGAGGCCACGCAGGGAUGGAAUCUGGUCUACGCCGAGCCCAAGGCCCGGUGCGACGUGCCUCGCGGCUGCGGCGCGUUCGGCGUGUGCACCGAGGGCUCGUCCACGGCGUGCGACUGCGCCCGGGGAUUCAACCCGCAAAGUCCGGCGAGCUGGGGCCUCGGCGACUACAUCGGCGGUUGCGUGCGCAACACCCAGCUUCAGUGCAGUAAGAACAGCAGUGGCCCGUCGGACGGCUUGAAGAACGUGGAGCAGGACAAGUUCCUCCGCAUCGACCGCAUGAGGCUCCCUGACGAUGGCCGAAUGGCGGGAGCCGCAAGCUCCGGCGACUGCCAACGCGCGUGUCUUGGGGACUGCACAUGCUCCGCCUACGCGUACAACGGCAGCUGCUUCUUGUGGCACAAUGAUCUGUUCAACUUACAAAACGGUGUCCUCGACAACCAGGCCAGCGCCGGAAGCCUGUACCUCCGUCUCGCUGCGUCGGAGCUCCCAGGCGCGCGAAGCCACGUAUGGAGGGACAUCAAGGUCGCCGCCGUGGCACUCGGCAUCACGUGCUUCGUGAUCGCCGCAGCCAUUCUUCUCGUUCGUACGAUAAGAGGAACGAUGAAGAGGAGAAGAGCGACGAUACUGAGCGGUCUCGCCGCCGGCGAUGGCUGCGUGAGCUACAAGUACAGCGACCUGCAGUCCCUGACUAAGAACUUCACCGACAAGAUCGGCGCCGGCGCCUUCGGGUCGGUGUUCAAGGGCCAGUUUUCCGACCGCACCGUCGUGGCCGUCAAGAAGCUGGAGGGGCUCCGGCAAGGCGAGAAGCAGUUCCGCGCGGAGGUGAGCACGCUGGGCACCGUCCAGCACGUCAACCUCAUCCGCAUGCUCGGCUUCUGCUCCGGCGGCGGCGACCGGAAGCUGCUUGUCUACGAGUACAUGCCCAACGGCUCGCUCGACCGGCACCUCUUCCGCAAGACCUUCUACGUCCUCAGCUGGCAGGUGCGGUUCCAGGUCGCGCUCGGCGUCGCCAAGGGGCUCGCCUACCUCCACGACAAGUGCCGUGACUGCAUCAUCCACUGCGACGUCAAGCCCGAGAACAUCCUCCUCGACGCCUCCUUCGGCGCCAAGGUGGCCGACUUCGGGCUCGCCAAGCUCGUCGGCCGGGACUUCAGCCGGGUGCUCACCACCAUGCGCGGCACCGUUGGGUACCUGGCGCCGGAGUGGAUCAGCGGCGAGGCCAUCACGGCCAAGGCGGACGUGUUUAGCUACGGGAUGAUGCUCUUCGAGAUCGUGUCCGGGAGGCGGAACAUCGAGCAAGGGGAGAGGCGAUCCGUGGUGUCGUCGACGGCAGACGCGGACGGUGCGGAGGAGCACCCGACGACGACCUUCUUCCCGUUGCUGGUCGCGAGGAAGCUGGCAGAGGGGGGCGUGAUGACGUUGCUCGAUCCCGAGCUGGAAGGCGACGCGAACGCCGAGGAGAUGAGGAGGGUGUGCAAGGUCGCCAGCUGGUGCAUCCAGCGCGACGUCGACACGCGGCCGACGAUGGGGGAGGUGGUGCAGGUGCUAGAGGGGCUGACGGACUUGGAGAUGCCACCGGUGCCUCAGUACCUUGAAGUGCUCGUGGGACGGCCGGUACACGGGACGGCGUACCAUAGCGAUAGCGGGGAGCAGCUUGAAGCGCCCGCGGGAGGCGGGACGGCCGGUACACGGAACAGUGUACCAUAG
rnacentral:rRNA from 1 species